CCUACAUGAAGCUGGAGUUACUAGUAAUCGCAGAUCAGAAUGCUGCGGUGAAUGCGUUCCCGGGUCUUGUACACACCGCCCGUCACACCGCGGGAGUUGGAGACGCCCGAAGCCGAUUAUCUAACCUGUUGGAAGAAGUCGUCGAAGGUGGAAUCAAUAACUGGGGUGAAGUCGUAACAAGGUAGCCGUAUCGGAAGGUGCGGCUGGAUCACCUCCUUUCAAAGGAGA
rnacentral:rRNA from 1 species